GGUUAAGCGACUAAGCGUACACGGUGGAUGCCCUGGCAGUCAGAGGCGAUGAAGGACGUGCUAAUCUGCGAAAAGCGUCGGUAAGGUGAUAUGAACCGUUAUAACCGGCGAUGUCCGAAUGGGGAAACCCAGUGCAAUUCGUUGCACUAUCGUUAACUGAAUACAUAGGUUAACGAGGCGAACCGGGGGAACUGAAACAUCUAAGUACCCCGAGGAAAAGAAAUCAACCGAGAUUCCCCCAGUAGCGGCGAGCGAACGGGGAGCAGCCCAGAGUCUGAAUCAGCUUGUGUGUUAGUGGAACGGUCUGGAAAGUCCGACGGUACAGGGUGAUAGUCCCGUACACCAAAAUGCACAGGCUGUGAACUCGAAGAGUAGGGCGGGACACGUGGUAUCCUGUCUGAAUAUGGGGGGACCAUCCUCCAAGGCUAAAUACUCCUGACUGACCGAUAGUGAACCAGUACCGUGAGGGAAAGGCGAAAAGAACCCCGGCGAGGGGAGUGAAAAAGAACCUGAAACCGUGUACGUACAAGCAGUGGGAGCACCUUCGGGUGUGACUGCGUACCUUUUGUAUAAUGGGUCAGCGACUUAUAUUCUGUAGCAAGGUUAACCGUAUAGGGGAGCCGCAGGGAAACCGAGUCUUAACUGGGCGUUAAGUUGCAGGGUAUAGACCCGAAACCCGGUGAUCUAGCCAUGGGCAGGUUGAAGGUUGGGUAACACUAACUGGAGGACCGAACCGACUAAUGUUGAAAAAUUAGCGGAUGACUUGUGGCUGGGGGUGAAAGGCCAAUCAAACCGGGAGAUAGCUGGUUCUCCCCGAAAGCUAUUUAGGUAGCGCCUCGUGAAUUCAUCUUCGGGGGUAGAGCACUGUUUCGGCUAGGGGGUCAUCCCGACUUACCAACCCGAUGCAAACUACGAAUACCGAAGAAUGUUAUCACGGGAGACACACGGCGGGUGCUAACGUCCGUCGUGAAGAGGGAAACAACCCAGACCGCCAGCUAAGGUCCCAAAGUCAUGGUUAAGUGGGAAACGAUGUGGGAAGGCACAGACAGCCAGGAUGUUGGCUUAGAAGCAGCCAUCAUUUAAAGAAAGCGUAAUAGCUCACUGGUCGAGUCGGCCUGCGCGGAAGAUGUAACGGGGCUAAACCAUGCACCGAAGCUGCGGCAGCGACACUAUGUGUUGUUGGGUAGGGGAGCGUUCUGUAAGCCUGCGAAGGUGACCUGUGAGGGUUGCUGGAGGUAUCAGAAGUGCGAAUGCUGACAUAAGUAACGAUAAAGCGGGUGAAAAGCCCGCUCGCCGGAAGACCAAGGGUUCCUGUCCAACGUUAAUCGGGGCAGGGUGAGUCGACCCCUAAGGCGAGGCCGAAAGGCGUAGUCGAUGGGAAACAGGUUAAUAUUCCUGUACUUGGUGUUACUGCGAAGGGGGGACGGAGAAGGCUAUGUUAGCCGGGCGACGGUUGUCCCGGUUUAAGCAUGUAGGCUGGUUAUCCAGGCAAAUCCGGAUAAUCAAGGCUGAGGUGUGAUGACGAGGCACUACGGUGCUGAAGUAACAAAUGCCCUGCUUCCAGGAAAAGCCUCUAAGCAUCAGGUAACAUCAAAUCGUACCCCAAACCGACACAGGUGGUCAGGUAGAGAAUACCAAGGCGCUUGAGAGAACUCGGGUGAAGGAACUAGGCAAAAUGGUGCCGUAACUUCGGGAGAAGGCACGCUGGUGUGUAGGUGAAGUCCCUGCGGAUGGAGCUGAGACCAGUCGAAGAUACCAGCUGGCUGCAACUGUUUAUUAAAAACACAGCACUGUGCAAACACGAAAGUGGACGUAUACGGUGUGACGCCUGCCCGGUGCCGGAAGGUUAAUUGAUGGGGUUAUCCGUAAGGAGAAGCUCUUGAUCGAAGCCCCGGUAAACGGCGGCCGUAACUAUAACGGUCCUAAGGUAGCGAAAUUCCUUGUCGGGUAAGUUCCGACCUGCACGAAUGGCGUAAUGAUGGCCAGGCUGUCUCCACCCGAGACUCAGUGAAAUUGAACUCGCUGUGAAGAUGCAGUGUACCCGCGGCAAGACGGAAAGACCCCGUGAACCUUUACUAUAGCUUGACACUGAACAUUGAGCCUUGAUGUGUAGGAUAGGUGGGAGGCUUUGAAGCGUGGACGCCAGUCUGCGUGGAGCCAACCUUGAAAUACCACCCUUUAAUGUUUGAUGUUCUAACGUUGGCCCCUGACCGGGGUUGCGGACAGUGUCUGGUGGGUAGUUUGACUGGGGCGGUCUCCUCCCAAAGCGUAACGGAGGAGCACGAAGGUUAGCUAAUCCUGGUCGGACAUCAGGAGGUUAGUGCAAUGGCAUAAGCUAGCUUGACUGCGAGCGUGACGGCGCGAGCAGGUGCGAAAGCAGGUCAUAGUGAUCCGGUGGUUCUGAAUGGAAGGGCCAUCGCUCAACGGAUAAAAGGUACUCCGGGGAUAACAGGCUGAUACCGCCCAAGAGUUCAUAUCGACGGCGGUGUUUGGCACCUCGAUGUCGGCUCAUCACAUCCUGGGGCUGAAGUAGGUCCCAAGGGUAUGGCUGUUCGCCAUUUAAAGUGGUACGCGAGCUGGGUUUAGAACGUCGUGAGACAGUUCGGUCCCUAUCUGCCGUGGGCGCUGGAGAAUUGAGGGGGGCUGCUCCUAGUACGAGAGGACCGGAGUGGACGCAUCACUGGUGUUCGGGUUGUCAUGCCAAUGGCACUGCCCGGUAGCUAAAUGCGGAAGAGAUAAGUGCUGAAAGCAUCUAAGCACGAAACUUGCCCCGAGAUGAGUUCUCCCUGAGACUUUAAGUCUCCUGAAGGAACGUUGAAGACGACGACGUUGAUAGGCCGGGUGUGUAAGCGCAGCGAUGCGUUGAGCUAACCGGUACUAAUGAACCGUGAGGCUUAACCUU
rnacentral:rRNA from 2 species